GGAUAACGUAGCGAAAGCUACGCUAAUACCGCAUGUGAUCUGUGGAUGAAAGCGGGGGACUCGCAAGGGCCUCGCGCGAUUGGAGCGGCCGAUAUCAGAUUAGCUUGUUGGUGGGGUAAAAGCCUACCAAGGCGACGAUCUGUAGCUGGUCUGAGAGGACGACCAGCCACACUGGGACUGAGACACGGCCCAGACUCCUACGGGAGGCAGCAGUGGGGAAUUUUGGACAAUGGACGAAAGUCUGAUCCAGCCAUGCCGCGUGCAGGAAGAAGGCCUUCGGGUUGUAAACUGCUUUUGUCAGGGAAGAAAUCCUUUGGGCUAAUACCUCGGGGGGAUGACGGUACCUGAAGAAUAAGCACCGGCUAACUACGUGCCAGCAGCCGCGGUAAUACGUAGGGUGCGAGCGUUAAUCGGAAUUACUGG
rnacentral:rRNA from 1 species